rnacentral:rRNA from 5 species
CGACCCCAGGUCAGGCGGGACUACCCGCUGAG